rnacentral:pre_miRNA from 1 species
CACUUACUCCCUCCGUCCAAAAAUUCUUGCCUUAUAUUUGCCUAAAUACGAAUGUAUCAAGUCACGUUUUAGUAUUAGAUACAUCUGUAUUUAGACUAAUCUAAAACAAGAAUUUUGGAACAGAUUAUCUA